CUAAGGUAGCAUAAUCAUUUGUUAUUUAAUUGGUAACUGGAAUGAAAGGUUAAACUAGUUUAUUAAGUUUGUGUGGCUAAAUAGGAGUUUAAAGUUAAGGUAAGAAUUCUUUAAUUUUUUAGGGGACGAUAAGACCCUAGAAGCUUAACGAGUGGUUGGUUUUGUUUUAUAAAUUUGUUUGUUUUACUGGGGCGGUAAAAAUAAUUAAGCUAUUUUUUAUUUAAGGGAUCCUUAAAAUAAAGAAAAAAUGGAGAAGUUACUCUAGGGAUAA
rnacentral:rRNA from 1 species